GCACAGACUAGAGAUAAACUUGUAAGAACAUGAUUACUAAUGAGGAACUCGUCACACAGUCACUUACUUUGGCAGGGGGUAAGCCAUAAUAAUAAUGAUAAUGAAAUAUAUGCUCAUGGGUAAAUAACACAGUGAUUAGAAAAUAGACUACUCCUCAUAUAUGUAAGGUGACGUCGGAUUAGCUAGAGAAUGGAUUCUGAGUUAUCUACUAUCUACUAAGUCACAAUCUACUCUAGUUAUCUACAAGAUCAUAUAUAGCAUAAAAGACUCUUCAUUCAUGUAUAAGGAACAUUGCUAAAGUAAAUCAGAACAUCGCAAGACUUACUCCGCAAUACAAAUUCUGCCUGUCCUAUCAAUGGAGGGUGGACUAUAUAAGAAUCAACGAAGCUGUCACUAUCGCGAACUACCACACGACCCGGCCAAUAGGAUACAUUUGUAGGUAAAUAACAUCUAAGCACCACGCCCACAUGUGAUCUACCACUUCACUCCCGCGCGUCAAGAGCUAAGCGCUUUGCAAACUUAUACAUAAACUCAUUAUCAAUCAUAACUAUAUCAAAUAUAGAACUAGAGCAAACUAAGAACAUAAUAAAUAGAGACAUAAUGCAAUUAGAAUAAAGUAGUAGAGAAAGAUAUGAAAUAAUACCAAUCUUUAUUAACGAAGAUCCGAAUCUAGAGCGUAGUGCUCUACUUCUCUAAUUCUAUCUAAUCAAUCCUAUAGAACUUGAAGGAUUAGGGAGUAGCUAAUUCUAAUUCUCUGUGGGAGAGAAGUUCUAAAACCCUAACUUUGAUGGCUUCCUCUGAUAAUGGUUUCUCCUCCUCUCCCCUGGGGUGGAGAGGCCUUGCUUAUAUAGUCCCAUCAAGUGAAUGUGGGCCGUCGGAUCAAACCGACAUUGAUCACACGGUUAUUCUUGAAGAUUAGAGGCGGUGGAGCACGAUCCGUGAGACCUGGUCUGAUUGGGCACCAGAGCAGGGCGGGCGCCCAAGGGGGGAGGGCGGGCGCCCUGCCCCCGGGCCCGAUCGACCUCCCGUUCGUUCCUGUGGCUUCUGGACUCUUCUAGAUUAAGGAAAAUUGCGCGGCACGUAAUUAUCUCGUUGUAAACCUGACAUGUGGGCCUUCUCUCCAUAUUUUCUGAUAACCCCCUACAGAAAUAGACAAACACCAAAGCUCGUGGAAUUCUGUCAGUUAAAACCCUAAUUCUAGGUGUUUGGUGCAUAUUGAUCCUCGUCAAUGUUUAGUUGAUGGUUAAAUUUAGUACUUAAGGACCGUCAACAAACUCCCCAAGCUUACCCUUUGCUCGUCCCUGAGCAAACAGCUAAACUCAGAUGGAUCAGGAGUUGCUUUGAUGUUUUCUUUCCUAACAGGCACACAUGCUUUCACAUGUAAAUUCUUCCAGAUUAGAGUGAAGUGUCAUGGAGCUUAGUACCUGCACUUAAAUCUUAAGUAAUCGAAAGACAAAAUAAUUAAGUCAAGCACUAUUCCUCCUGUUUAUACUUCACCUUUGUUCUGGAGUUUUGCAUAAGUUUUCAAAAAUAAAACUUAGAGUUCCCAACAAUGAUUAUCUCAAGUCUCUCUAUAUAUGGUAUUUGUGGAUCCUCACCAAAAAUGUCACUUACCUAUAACUAAGAGAAUGUUUAUGUGGAGCUCAUAGGUGUGAACAAGAGCUCUUACAUAUGUUGUCUAAUCGAGCCAUGGAUCCAAAGGAACUCAGCAUAUAAUUAAAUCAAGAUGUGCAUGUGUGGUGGAGUAAAUGAUAGUAAUGGUGGAAAUAUAAGUAAUGAUAAAACUUACUUCUCAUUGCUCCUCAUAUUGCUAUCUCUCCUCUUCUUUUGAUCUUUGCUUUGGGAGAACAUGGGAUAUCUUUUUCUUUUCUUUUUCUUCUUUUUUUUCAGGUGGGUAGUAGAUACCCCUAAUUCUACUGUCGGACACUUGUCCAAUUUUUCCGCUCAAGUGGGCAUCUUUGUACCCCUAAUUCUACUCCGGACACUUGUCCAUUUUUACCUCUCGUCUCACUCUUUUUCUUUCUUUUUCGAGGUUCUGGGCACUUGCCCCUUUUUAUUUCCUCGCAUAUUUUUGCAUAACCCAUGCCUCUUCUGCAUUGAAUCUUUUUAGACAGAGAGAAUAACAACACUUGGGACAGUGAGUGAUAAUAUUUUUAGCAAUUUUAAUAAAUGGUGGUGGAUGGUGUAGUAGAAGUAUGCAAGUGAAUAUCUUAAUUUAACCACAUGAAAAGUCCUAAGGGUCUACACAGCUCGAUCAAACUCAAUGUGCAUAUAAAUGUAGAAAUUAUAACAUAAGGCUGUGGUAAGAAUUUUGUCAUGCUAGGAACUCAUCAUGUGAUUUGCAAGUUUUCAAAAUAAAUCUCCAGAACUUAGUGUAGUAGGAACAAGAUAAACAGUAGCUCAAACUUUAUAUCAUGUCCUUUUCUUACCUAGACUUUAGUUGUAGGUUCAUGCUUCCCAUAGCUAGUAAAUUUUGGUUUUAGUAAUUCCUGGAAGAACUCUAAUAUAAAAGCUAGGUACUUGAAAGUAAGCAAACAGAGCAACUGUUCAUCAUUUCCAUCAUGCAUUUUUUUUGAUCUUUUAUUUUUCUAGAGAUUAACACUUAGCAGGGAAAAUAAAGCACACUUAUCUACACACUCUUUUUAUUUUGUUUUCAUGUUUAUAGAAUGCAGUAAAUUAAAGCAAGAAAAUAUUUAUUGUGUUUUCUAAGUUUUUCUCUUUAAGAUAAAUAAAACACUAAAACAGAAAAGAAUAAAUAAGAAAAACAAAUAAAAACUUACUUGAUAAAACGGGGAGGAACUCCCCCAAGCUGGAUAUGGUUGUCGGUCUUACCCAAUGUUCCAGAAUCGCAUCAUGGUGGUGAUGUUGUCGUUCAUUGUCGUGGUGUCUUGCCUUAGUUCUUGUACUGUAGUGGCGUGGUCCUGGUUCCAUUUUUGUUGCUGCUCUAGGAGUCGUCCAUGUUCUGCUUGCAUAUUCUGGAUGUCGAGAAUGGUGUUGUCGGUACGGGUGAAGAAGGCGCCGGCCUCUUGGUAGUAGUCGUUCGUGAAAGCAUAAGAGGCGUCGGAGUACCGUCCUGCAUCGAAUUGGGGCUGGGGCUUGGACCCUGAAGCUCCAUAUGGAUCAGUAGAGUACCUGCCCGUAUGGAAAGGCGGGUUUGUCCACUGGUGAUCUUGACCUUCUGGCCACGUCUCCUGUGUUGGCUCUUAUGGUUGAGCAUGUCGAACCCAUGGGUCCCGAAGGACUCGGGGGUUGUAAUCGCAAUAAUGCAGGUGUGCUGCUUCUUCGGGCCCAGGAUCAGCUCCACACCAGGUGCGUUCUUGAUGGGUGGUCAUCCUUUCAGAUGCCACUCGUUGUGGAGCUCUCUGGUUUACCGGUGUCACUGCAAUCUCAAUCAAAUAAUUUUGAAUGACAUAGAGGCCAAGGUUCGGGUUAGGUAACCGAAUCUUGCCUUUAUUAUCGUAUAACAAAUACGUUACGUUCCUCACUUUUUUCAACAUCCGAGCUUGGC
rnacentral:lncRNA from 1 species